rnacentral:misc_RNA from 1 species
UGGAAAGGUUCGCCUCACUGGGACAUGAUUUGUUCCCUACUCUGAUGCUGUUGUUUUGCAUUACCCUUUGGAAAAACGAGGCAUUCUUUCUCAUGUCAAAGGAGAGCUUGGCUUGAAAGUAUUUGUUACUGAUAGUCCUUCAAUGAGAUCCUCAAACCCACUUCCUGCAAUGGACUCCUCUCUGUUUACUAAUACAAGUUCAGCCCAAGCUCAAGUACCAGAACAACAAAUACCAAAUCCAGUUCCAAAACUGUUCUCCAGUGACAAGACUGAGUCAAGACAUACAUUUCAUCAUCUUCCAAACACUACCCAGCCCCAGCCUCAGCCUCAGCCUCAGCCACAGCCACAGCCACAGCCACAGCAAUAUGUCCAGGCAGCAGGUCCCCAGCAAGCAAUGAAUUAUGGGACUCAUGAGAUAAGAUCUGAACCUCAGGCUCCAAGAAUUGU